rnacentral:tRNA from 1 species
GGGGUUGUGGUUCAGUGGUAGAGCACUAGCCUCGCAUGCAUGAGGCCCUGAGUUUGAUCCUCAGCACCACA